GCGAACGCUGGCGGCAGGCUUAACACAUGCAAGUCGAACGGGCACCUUCGGGUGUCAGUGGCAGACGGGUGAGUAACACGUGGGAACGUACCCUUCGGUUCGGAAUAACUCAGGGAAACUUGAGCUAAUACCGGAUACGCCCUUUUGGGGAAAGGUUUACUGCCGAAGGAUCGGCCCGCGUCUGAUUAGCUUGUUGGUGGGGUAACGGCCUACCAAGGCGACGAUCAGUAGCUGGUCUGAGAGGAUGAUCAGCCACACUGGGACUGAGACACGGCCCAGACUCCUACGGGAGGCAGCAGUGGGGAAUAUUGGACAAUGGGCGAAAGCCUGAUCCAGCAAUGCCGCGUGGGUGAAGAAGGUCUUCGGAUCGUAAAGCCCUUUCGACGGGGACGAUGAUGACGGUACCCGUAGAAGAAGCCCCGGCUAACUUCGU
rnacentral:rRNA from 1 species